CCUACGGGUGGCAGCAGUGGGGAAUAUUGGACAAUGGGGGCAACCCUGAUCCAGCCAUGCCGCGUGUGUGAAGAAGGCCCUCGGGUUGUAAAGCACUUUCAGUGAGGAAGAACGCCUGGUGGUUAAUACCCAUCAGGAAAGACAUCACUCACAGAAGAAGCACCGGCUAACUCCGUGCCAGCAGCCGCGGUAAUACGGAGGGUGCGAGCGUUAAUCGGAAUUACUGGGCGUAAAGCGCGCGUAGGUGGCUUGAUAAGCCGGUUGGGAAAGCCCCGGGCUCAACCUGGGAACGGCAUCCGGAACUGUCAAGCUAGAGUGCAGGAGAGGAAGGUAGAAUUCCCGGUGUAGCGGUGAAAUGCGUAGAGAUCGGGAGGAAUACCAGUGGCGAAGGCGGCCUUCUGGACUGACACUGACACUGAGGUGCGAAAGCGUGGGUAGCAAACAGGAUUAGAUACCCGAGUAGUC
rnacentral:rRNA from 1 species